UCAAAAGACUAUAUUGUGAGAUCUUGGAUUUUAUUGAGAACAUCACCUAAACCUUGUCAAGAGAGUUAGACAACAUCCUUGUCCAUGCCUGACUUAGACAUUUACCCACUUUUAUUAUGAAUUCUAAAGGCUCCUCCCAAUUCCUGCUGCUAUUUUGUCAAGGGAUUUUGUCAGACUGAUUAUUCUACCAUGUAAAGUACCAUCAAAUAGAUCAUUUCUAUAUUCCCAGUAACCCCAUUGUUGUGCAUCAACCACCCUAAAUCCCCUAGAUUUUAUUGUUACAUGUACCCUUGCUC
rnacentral:lncRNA from 1 species